UUGCGAAAACAGGAUUUGAACCUGUGAUUUCAAGGUUAUGAGCCUUGCGAGCUUCCGUAAAACUACUCUAUUUCGCA
rnacentral:tRNA from 1 species